rnacentral:rRNA from 1 species
UACGUAGGGGGCAAGCGUUGUCCGGAAUCAUUGGGCGUAAAGCGCGCGUAGGCGGCCCGGUAAGUCCGUUGUGAAAGUCAAAGGCUCAACCUUUGAAAGCCGAUGGAUACUGCCGGGCUAGAGUCCGGAAGAGGCGAGUGGAAUUCCUGGUGUAGCGGUGGAAUGCGCACAUAUCAGGAGGAACACCGAUAGCGAAGGCAGCUCGCUGGGACGGUACUGACGCUGAGGCGCGAAAGCGUGGGGAGCGAACAGG